GUCACACAGCCUUUGUGACAACGCCUGCAGUAGUUUUACGCCGUGACUGCUAUUGACAUGCUGCACCUGUUGGAGAGUGGGCCGUGAAUGUGCAGGCAACCAUGUGAUACGUAUAAAGUCUAGUAUGACAGCUACCGUGUUUCCGCGUGUGCUCUGACUUACGUUGAGAGGCAUGCAUCGAUAUCCGGAGGUGGGCGGAAGACAAUAAUUUUACGAGUGAUUGUGGUUACACAAAAGGCAGGGCGAAGACUUUGAGACGGUCUAUGAAAUUACACUCUAAUAUAAUCCAGAGUAGCUCACGCUUUGCCAGUUAAUGGGUUUAUAUUCUCGUCACACCAGUUAAGUGGCGACAACAACAACAACAGCAACGUAUAGCGUGGAUAUGGCAUAACGCGUAACCGCAAUUCACAUAGCAACAAAAAUGUCUUCCAACACAAACAACGUAAAACGUACACAUUAAACUUAAAGUUAAGAACUCAGCAAGAUAGAAAUACGGUGAGUGCUUUACGCUAUGCCACAGAUUGGCUGCCAGUGUAGGAGGAAGUGACAGCACUGACUUUGCAAGCGCCAUUAUUAAAAAGUUACACAAAGCACCAUACUGGCAUAAAGGAAAGGAUUUAUUAUAUACAUAUAUGUAUGUAUACACACAAACAUAAUAUACAAUAUAUUAUUACAUGAAGGCAUGUACAUACUUAUACGUACAUAUGGAGCAAUAUUGGAGUUAAACAGCUAAUAUUAAACUAAUUUAAAUCACAAACGUUUUCGUGUUUGCUUGAAUAAGAUUUUCAGAGAUGCUUAGAUAAAAUGGGAAGAUUUUUGAAACAGAUACAGAACUAGUUAUGACGAGGUGCAAGUUAUCAAAAUAUAAAGCUUCAAAUUCUAAGUCCCAUAUUUGGUCGGCAUAAUCACCCAGCAAAGUUUUUAGUUCGAGCAACCAUGAAUUGGUUUCGCACCCCGUUUAUUCUAGUAGAUAAUCCGCAUGCUCUGAGACGCCAUUCAGUGCGUAUUGAAGACGCUAUUGCUGUUGUGGAGCAGAGUACUGAAGAAGACCCGAAUGAGUCGAGCGCGUAAAAGUUAAAGUUGUGCACAUAUACUUUAUGAUAGCCGCACGUUUGGUGAAGGGGCCCAAUAUGACAUAAGCACCGAUCUCGAUUUUCACAAGACAAUUUCGUUCCGCGAUGAAGCUCACUUUUGAUUGAAUGAGAAUGUUAAUAAAAAAUUGUCGAAUUUAAAGUGAUGAUAAUAAACAAGCCAUUGCUGAGAUGCCGCUACAUGCCAUACAGCCAACGAAACAAUACAUUUUUUGAGGAAAACUUGUGGUGAGCACAUUAUCAUUCCCCGUAGGCCUGCGGCGUGCCGUUCUAGAUCAUGCAAUUUAAUACCGCUGGACUGACUGUUGUGGGAUUAUGUGAAGUCGCUUGUCUACAUAGAUUAGCUCAAAACGAUUAACGUCUUGGAAGAAUAUAUUCGGCGCGUUACUGCUGAUCUCCGUCCCCAAUUGCCGCAAAAAUGUGUUCUCUCGGAAACUGGAACUUAU